rnacentral:rRNA from 1 species
UACGAAGGGGGCUAGCGUUGCUCGGAAUCACUGGGCGUAAAGCGCACGUAGGCGGAUUGCUAAGUCAGGGGUGAAAUCCUGGAGCUCAACUCCAGAACUGCCUUUGAUACUGGCGACCUUGAGUCCGGGAGAGGUGAGUGGAACUGCGAGUGUAGAGGUGAAAUUCGUAGAUAUUCGCAAGAACACCGGUGGCGAAAGCGGCGCGCUGGACCUCUUCUGACGCUGAGGCGCGAAAGCCAGGGGAGCAAACGGG